GUUUCUGUAGUGUAGUGGUUAUCACGUUUGCCUAACACGUAAAAGGUCUUCGGGUUCGAAACCGAGCAGAAACA
rnacentral:tRNA from 1 species